AAAAAGGGACAAAACUACGUUAUUUUAGGAAAAUCCCAAAAUGACGUUGUUUUGGAUAAGAAAAAAAAUUUUGACCAAAGGCAUGUUCGCCUCUGAUCGGGGAGGAAGAGGAUGAAGAGGCGUGUACGCCUCUUUUCUCCACCGAAUAAGAAGGAGGAAGAGUCAUGUAGGGCUUUCCUUUAUCCGACUAUAAAUCAAGUAGAGAAAGAUAUAGAGUGGGGAGAGAGAGAAACAGAUCGGAACAGGUAGAGAGAGAGAGCUCCAGCAGAGUGAAGAAG
rnacentral:lncRNA from 1 species